CGAACGGACGAGAAGCUUGCUUCUCUGAUGUUAGCGGCGGACGGGUGAGUAACACGUGGAUAACCUACCUAUAAGACUGGGAUAACUUCGGGAAACCGGAGCUAAUACCGGAUAAUAUUUUGAACCGCAUGGUUCAAAAGUGAAAGACGGUCUUGCUGUCACUUAUGGAUGGAUCCGCGCUGCAUUAGCUAGUUGGUAAGGUAACGGCUUACCAAGGCAACGAUGCAUAGCCGACCUGAGAGGGUGAUCGGCCACACUGGAACUGAGACACGGUCCAGACUCCUACGGGAGGCAGCAGUAGGGAAUCUUCCGCAAUGGGCGAAAGCCUGACGGAGCAACGCCGCGUGAGUGAUGAAGGUCUUCGGAUCGUAAAACUCUGUUAUUAGGGAAGAACAUAUGUGUAAGUAACUGUGCACAUCUUGACGGUACCUAAUCAGAAAGCCACGGCUAACUACGUGCCAGCAG
rnacentral:rRNA from 1 species